rnacentral:rRNA from 1 species
UUGCACGCUGGCGGCAUGCUUUACACAUGCCAGUCGAACGGUAACAGCACUUCGGUGGCUGACGAGUGGCGAACGGGUGAGUAAUACAUCGGAACGUGCCUAGUAGUGGGGGAUAACUACUCGAAAGAGUAGCUAAUACCGCAUGAGAUCUAAGGAUGAAAGCAGGGGACCUUCGGGCCUUGCGCUACUAGAGCGGCUGAUGGCAGAUUAGGUAGUUGGUGGGAUAAAAGCUUACCAAGCCGACGAUCUGUAGCUGGUCUGAGAGGACGACCAGCCACACUGGGACUGAGACACGGCCCAGACUCCUACGGGAGGCAGCAGUGGGGAAUUUUGGACAAUGGGCGCAAGCCUGAUCCAGCAAUGCCGCGUGCAGGAUGAAGGCCUUCGGGUUGUAAACUGCUUUUGUACGGAACGAAAAGCCCUCUUCUAAUACAGGAGGGUCAUGACGGUACCGUAAGAAUAAGCACCGGCUAACUACGUG